AUAUUGCUCUUAUCCUCCAGUCUCUGCAUAUUUCCAUGGUGCUUAUGUAGUUUAUGAUAGCUUAUAAGGAACAUUCACACACAUGAAUUCAGAUGAGUACACAUUGGGUAUUUGCUUUUGGUAGGAUUUUAUUUUAUAGUAUAUCCUUCUUUUAGAAAGUAUAAAAGUUCUAAGUAGAUAAAAUGUGUUUAUCAUUUAAACAUAUUUUUUAAAAAAAUAAAAUCUAUAGAUGAAUUGAGGUGGAAUGCAUCUAUUCUGUUGUGCCACGUGAUCAAUUUCAGUCAUCAUUCAAAUCAAUAAAUGGUGUCAGCUAUACAAUUGUGCACAGCAUUGGGAGUGCUAACCUGGAAACAGCUUCAAUCAGAAAACAAUCACACACAAAAAAUGUGUCUUUAGAGUUACAAAUGGAAAUAUCACCUUUUUAAAUAACAAGCUUCCUUUAUUUAAAACCUGUUAUUUGCACCUCUGUUGUAACACUUAUCACACCAUAUCGUAAUUGGUAAUUGUUUAAAAAUAAUUUCUUAAACUCUGAGCUCCUUGAGGUUAGGGAACACAUAAUGUGUUUUCUGUUUGUUUAUUUCUAAAUGGCAAAUAGUUGGUUCUUAUUUGAACCUACUCUUUGGCAUUUAGAAAUAAAAUAAUGUGUUUAAAUUGGCACAGCUCAUUGUAUAUGCAGGGUGGUCCUUCAGUGUAUUAACUUUGUUGAUCUUUAUAAGCAGCUUGUGCAAAGGAGAAGGCUCAGAAAUAUCUUUCACCAGAGAUAUUAAGGAAAGGUGUUCUGCUUUUUCACAAGUUGAGUCGUUUAUUUAAAAUAAAAGAAUCUAAAAACGCUUGUUUGUGGGUAACAUUGUCCUAUGAAUUAACCCUCUACUUAUUUAACUUUUGAAAAUCUGUCUUUUAAAGACAACUGCAAAUGUCACUUGAGAAAAUCAUUUACUUACUAAUCAGAAUUAACCAUAAAGUAAUGAAAAUAUGUGUGUGGCAUAAAUGACUAAUUUUGUAUUUUUAAUUAGAUAAGCAUCAAAUACUUUUCAGAAGACAUUGGUACAAAGAUUAUGAUAGCACAAUCAUAUACAAAAGUGUGCUACAUGGGAACAUAGACAUAUAUUAAAAUCUUAUCAUAUGAAACAUUUCUAUGUUUUAUAAAUAUUUAUAGAGAAAUAUUUCUAGGAAAGUUUCACCACAUGUUGAAGGAGAAUGGACGCACACCUUGCAAUAUGUUCACAAAAUGAUAUUUUGUAUAGCAGUGAGGAUAAAUAAAACACAGCUAUAUGCAAAAACUUGAUGAGUUUUAGAAACAUAUUUUUGUUUGAAAAAAUGCAAAUUCAAGUAGGACACUAGUUUUAUAAUGUAUCAAGCAAGCAAACUCAGCUACAAACUUUAGACAAAAUAUAUUUAUGAUGAAUUUAUUUUUCAAUGCCAAGAAUGAUCAACCCAAAAUGUAAGUGGUUAUCUGUCACUGGGGGGAGGAAGAAGAAUGCCGUGGGGGCAUUUCUCAAUGGUGACUAAAGCACCCUCAAAAAUUGUUUUAAGGUUUCAGUUAGUCAUAUUAAUUGAUUGAGCUUUCAUAGAAUGUUUUGGAUACAAAUAAAGGUCCCACUAUCUGUGAAUUAGUUAACACCUAUUAUCACAGCUUCAUUUAAGUUGCAGUUUCCAAUUCCCUAGCUACAUCAUCUGUGUAUGUCAUUUCUCCCUGUCUGUGUUGAUGAAGUACAACAUGAUAAGAGUAAUCUCAGCAAAGAAACAUCAAACUACAAGGGUACCGAGAAAGCAAUGGGUUAUUCUAUCUGUCAGAGUUAGGCAAGAAUUCACAGAGGAAUUCUUUUGAAUCAUAGUUUUAUCAAGAUGGAAGAGGGAAGUGAUUUCAGAACAGGGAAAAAAUAAGAGUGAAGCCUGGUUUAUAUGUGUCUGUGUGUUGGGGGGAAGGAAGCAAAAGUGGAUGAAAAUAAGUGACUUGAAAAAUAAAUAGGGAGUAUAUUAUACUUUGAUUGGAAGAGAAUAUUUAGGAAUUGUGGAAUGUUACCUGUAAAAAUAGGAAGUGAAGAGAGAUUCUUAAAGUAGAAGAGCCAGACAAUCCCAUUUACCCAGGCAUUACCACCUGUGCUGCUACCCUGGAGAUUUGUGAGCAAAACAUGCAUAUUUUAAUUGGUUGAUUUGAUCUUGUAAGCCCUUGUUAAUGGCCGUUCUACUCUCGGCUUCAUUGAGUUCAACUAUUUUAGAUUCUACAUAUUUCAGAUCGAAUUUAUCAUGAGAAGAUUAUCUGUUUCUUUCCACCCCAUUAUCAUGAGGCUUGAUCCUGGAGUUCAAGCACUGAUUACAGCUACGUGUUUAUGUAAAUGUGCUUGUAUAAAUGUUUAUGCAAGUAUGCGUUUUCCCGAUAAGACUGACAACUGUGUGAGGGCAGGGAAUAUCCCUGUCAUACUCAGCACAGUGUCUGGGUAGUCACCAGGUGUCUAUACCAUCGAUCAGUUUUUUGUCAAACCAUUUGUGAAAAUGUUUGUCUUUUUACUAGAGAACAAACAGAGUCCUGUUAUUUUGGCCAGGCUGGUCUCCAAUUCCUGACCUCAAGGUAUCCUCCAGCCUUGGCCUGCUAAGGUGCUAGGGUUAUAGGUAUGAGCCACCAGAGCCGACAACAAAAAUAACAUUUAAAGAAAAUAAAACACAAGAGAAAAUAAUAAUUUGAACAAAAAACCUAGUCAAAAUAAUAGUGUUUUAUGUAUUAUUUUUAUUUAGCAGCAAAGCUGUUAUAAAAUCCAUUUAAUAUAUUUUAUUUGAGUGUGUUUUAGGGACAACACAUAUAGACAAUUCCAAUAUGGGUUUUAUCAGGUCCUGCCUAUUAACAUUGAUGUUUAAUGAAUUACAGUGAAAUAUUUACUAGUCAUAGACAAUGGUUAAUAAUGUCCAUAACUAGCUCUUGAAUUAAAAUGCAUCCCCAGGUAAUUUAGUGUUGACAAAUAUAUCAAAUAAAGUGUUUCACAGCCUGGCCUCUUCUCAGAGUCACUGGGCCAGGAGUUCCUUGUCAAAGGUCUCUCCCUGGUGCUCACGGCUGCCGCCUCAAAGUUCUCAGUUCAUGGAGACCUUCUUUGCAUUCAUGCUAGAACACAUUUAUCUCAUCAUCAAAACCUUCAUUUUUUUUUAAAAAAAAAGCAUAAACUGCUUAACGUGAAUAAAAUGUUAAAAUUCCUGAUCUCACAACAGAAAACUGUAGCUUCACUCAGGAACUAAAUUAGCUCUUGCAAUAUACUUUUACUACAAUAGCUGGAGAAUCUACUGAUUCUGUGGUGCCAAGUGCCUUUGUAAAAACUUAAAUUUGCCAAUGGGGAUGUUUUUGGCAGUGAGGGAAUGUGGUUGUGGAGGUGGCUGAAUUCUCUCUCCCACCAUCAUCUCCUGUGGCUUAUAAUAACCAUGGCUUAGGGUGAAUGUCACCCCAUUUGUCAAGUGCGGGCUCCAGAAAAAAUAAAAAUAAAACAGAAGCUGAAGUUUUCUGGGAGAUGUGUAGAAUGAUGUGUCAGUUAAUUGAAUCAGAUGAAAAUGGUGACAAAUGAUGAAAUCAUUUGUAGACAAAUGGACUGAACACACCUUGAGACUAGCUUUUUUCCUUUCUACACUGAGUUGAGAUGGGGUUUCACCAUGUUGGCAGGCUGGUCUCGAACUCCCAACCUCAGGUGAUCCACUCACCUCAGCCUCCCAAAGUCCUGUGAUUACAGGAGUGAGCCAGCACCUAAGGGCCUCAUUUUAACUUAAUUACCUCUUUAAUGGGCCUAUGUGCAAAUAAAAUCCUAUUCUGAGGCACUGGGGAUUAUUAUUUCAGUGUAUGAAUUCUAGGGUGGCACAAUUCAGCUGAAUUAAAACCCUGAGUAACAAUGAAUUCCUGUCAGCCCCUUACUAUGAGCCAGUUACUUCUCAGCGCGUUUGUGGAUAGCCUCUUUCGUAAAUGAUCGUGCACAUCUGCAAGACUGGAAUUAGAAUUGUUAUUUCAGAGAGAAGAAGCUGAAGUUCAGGAGGGCCAGUAACUUGCUCAGGCUCACAUAAUUAUUUCAUAAAUAUCUCUGAGCCCCUAUGGUGCACUUGGAACAAUGUUAGUAGUUAUCGAUGUAUCAGAGACAAUCAGGGAAAGCCCCAGCUCUUGCAUAGUCAGAGAAGAUAGUAAAUAACUAAAUAACCACAGACAGUGAUACCGGAUGGUGGCAAAAAUUCCGUAGAAAAAUAAAGGGGAUUGUGCACAUAUGGGAGGUCAGGACAGUUUGUUCUGAUGAGUGGGGUUUGAGCUGAGAUCCAGUGGAAGCAAGAGAGCAAGACAUGCUGGUCAGCUUCUUGGUGACGGGCACUCCAGGCAGUGCCAAUGGCAACGGGAAAGUCUAUGUGUGCGUCCCACGUGGGCAGAGGCUGGGGUGGAAUAGCAAAGUGGGCUGAGGAUGAGGGCUAAGAAUGGAGCUCAGAGAGGCCACAGGAGCCAGGCCUGGUGAGCAUCCUGUAUCAGGGAAGGAUUUCUACUUUUGCCGCUGAGGAUGUGGGGUGUGACUCGGGAGCUUUACACAGACUUGGGUCUGAAAGAAUCACUGGAGAUGUAGUGUGGAAAACACUUAGAAAAUGAUUUUCAUCUGUUAGAGCUGCUGGACAUGACAAGGUGGGAUCUUUGGGGAAUCUUGGUAGAAUUCUGGGUAUAUCUUGAAGGCAGAGUUUGGAGGAUUUGCUGGGACUAAACAUUCAGAAAGACUUAUAAUGCUAGUUCAUUCUGUCAUAAUAUAUUCAAAUAUGCUUGAUAACAACCCAAACUAUUUAAGACUCAAGAAAUUGACUUAUCUUGAACUGCCUUGGAUCGCUCAUUUCAGCCAGUCAUAAGUAUAAUACUUUCUAGAAUAAGUCUGAGUAGAUUUGGGGGUGAAGAUCCUGUCCUGUUUGGUUCAUUAGCAUAAGACUCUUAGAAAAGGCAUUGACUCAACAUUACAAAUAUUAUAUAUACAAGCCAAGUAGGACAUGCCAACUUUCCCUUUCCCUUCCACCAUGACUGUAAGUUUACUGAGGCCUCCACAGCCGUGCUUCCUAUAGAUAGUCUACCGAACCUGAGCCAAUUAAAUCUCUCUUCUUCAAAAAUUACCCAGUCUCAGGUGGUUAUUUAUAGCAAGGUAUAUGUAUGUGUAUAUAUGCAUUUCUCUUAUAUAUAUAAUCAUAAGCAUGCGUAUUCCAUUUUCUUCGUUCGGCAACCACAGUUGGUAACACUUGACUCGGCCUGACCAUAUUACAUCUGAGAAACCGAGUGUAUUUAAUUCAAUUUCUAUUCCCUCCACACGUGCAGUUUCUCAUAUCUAAUAUGAAUUGAAUUAAAUACGGUAGCUAUUGCCUGGUAAUUUCACAUGAAACGGAAUGCGUUUCAUCAUCAUCAUCAUUUUCUUUGGAUAAAUGUUCUGUUCCUGUUUUCUGUGACUUGGGAAUACCCCAUGUCUUUCUUAUUUGUCAAUGGUUCUUCCUAAGAUUAAUUGUAGUCAGGAAAAGCAUGAAGAUGGAAUUCUAAUCUGCACAGUACAUCUGGUUGACGCAGAACUCAGUCUUGGUCCAGCAACACCUACUGCAAAACAUAUGGAUGGGAGCAUUAUUAAAUGAGCUGUGGACGCAUAUGUUGGUGGCGUUCCCCUGUAGAGCUCUUUGAGGGCAGGGCUUCUGUUUAAAAUAAGACAUAUGGGGGUAGUUUUCAUUCUCUAUUUGAUGCUGAUGGACAAUGGCCAUUAAUAGCAUUCAGUGAAGAAAUAUUCACUGAGUGUCCAAGCACUUUACUAGGAAUUAGGAAAACAAUCAAGAAAAAGCAAUGGUCCCCCGCCAGAAACAUUUUAAGGGACAGAGAUUCUGUUUCUGUCCACGUCAUUUUAGUACAAUCUACUGCCUUCGCAUGUUCUUGCCAAUAAUUUCAGUGGUAGCUCUGGAAGCAGGUCUCCACCUAGCUCAGUAAGAGGACUUUUCUAAUUUUAUGCAUUGUCUUUUUCUUUUCCGUUCUUUUCUUUUCUUUCUUUCUUUUUUUUU
rnacentral:lncRNA from 1 species